rnacentral:rRNA from 1 species
AACGUAGGAGACGAACGUUAUCCGGAGUUACUGGGCGUAAAGGGCGUGCAGGCGGCCUAAUAAGUCUGGCGUGAAAUCAUUCGGCUUAACCGGGUGAUGUCGUCGGAGACUGUUAAGCUAGAGGGCGGUAGAGGCGUGUGGAAUUCCGGGUGUAGUGGUGAAAUGCGUAGAGAUCCGGAGGAACACCAGUGGCGAAGGCGACACGCUGGGCCGCACCUGACGCUAAGACGCGACAGCAUGGGGAGCGAACGGG